GAUUAUAUGUUUUUGUCUAGGAUUUACUUGGAGUGUGAUUCUGGAUCUGGGACACAGGAGAUUUUGCGGUUUGGGUCCGGCUCAAAACUCAUCAUCACUGAUGAGAACCAGCUCAGGAAACCCAAAGUGACCGUGUACCUGGCGUUCAAACCUGAGCCAAAUGGGAAGACCACCCUGCUAUGUCUGGCUAGAGACAUGUUUCCAGACUUGGUCAAGAUCUCAUGGAAGAUGGAGGAUGAAAACGGCCGAACCGUGGAGGUGCCCAAAGCAGAGAGGGAACAGCUGGAGCAGAGGGAGGAAGGACAGACGACCAGUAUGAUCAUCAUGUAUCAGGGAAAGGCAGACGCCAAAUACAUCUGUUCGGUGGAGCAUGAAGCGGGCCCUGAAGAAGCUGACACAUUAAAAGGUUUUUCAUCAAAGCAAAAUGUUUGCUCUCCAUCAACCAAUGCGAUGGCACCACCCUACAUACCCAAUGCAACCUUCCAGUCCAUGUGCAGUCUGCGUCUGGCCUCUCUGGUUUACACAGUGAUGAUAGUGAAGAGCAUGGUGUACUGCUGUGGGCUCUCUCUCCUGCUGCACCACAGGAACAUGGGAAAUAGCCCCCCUUCCUGAAGAAAAGCUCAUCUCUUCAUUAUGAAGAGUUCUGAAAGAGCUCUGGGAAAUAAGGAGGAAAUUUCGGUCCCCAUUUUCGUCUUCCAAUUCCUCACAGUGAGAAAAAAGUACCAUUACUGAUAUCUAUGAGAAGUUUUUGUAUUCCAAACUCGUUUGAAAACAUCUGUAAAAGUUACUGUUAUUUUAAAGGUAAAAAAUAGUAAUGGGUUGCUUGUUUUGUCACAAUAUUCUUUAGAGCUUCCUCUUGAGGACUGGUGGCCGACUAAAAGUUAUACUCAAUGCAUUCUCAAUUGGCGCUGAUUAAUAUUUAGUCUAAAGUGCAUUAUAAUGACUGGGAAACUGUGAUAUUUCUCAAGUAGACAAAUAAUUAGUAGGAAAACCUUUUGUCAUCAUUGUAAUGUCACCAGAUUUCCUUUAGCUGUAGUAUAACGUUAACUAGCUAUCUGAACGUGAGGGGAGAGCACCGACUGUUACCUAGCUAACAUUAGUGUUGCUAGAUUUUUUUGACAACCUUUACUAGCUAAUGACAUUGCCAUCUGUCUGAAGUAAAUGUGAAGACAUAAUAAUGCUGACAAAAUUGUUUCCUACUUAAUAUUUGCCCUGUGUGGCAAUAUCAUCGUAUUUCCGAGACUACAGUUUAAUUUAGACCAAACAUGGAUGCUAAGAAUGACUGGGCACCGCUAAAGUUGUUGGCAUCAAUAUCAAUGAUAUACACAACCAUUGAAAGGUUUGGGGUCAAUUAGAAAUGUCCUUGUUUUUGAAAGAAAAGCUUUUUUUUUUGUCCAUUAAAAUAACAUCACGUUGAUCGGAAAUACAGUGUAUUUGCAAUUGCAAUUGUCUCUUUAAGACCAGUCACCAGUCACUCAUUCACAAAUCACUUAUGCAGGCAAUUUGAAAUAAACCAUUUUUUUGUGUCAAUCAGCUUUGAAAUCAGUCUAUGUUGUUUUAUGCUUUGCAAAGUUGUAGGGUGGUGAGCUUCAGCUGUAAGCUAACCCACAAGGGUUGCUUUCUUUGAAUGCUUAAUAAAAAACAGGUAAAAACAAUUAAAGGCCCCGAACAGUGAAAAUCAUGUUUUUCAUCAAACUGGAUGAUAUUCAGAGGAAACUAGUUUAAAGUAGGUUAACCCACAUAUGAAAAAUGACUGUAACUGGUACAUUGAUAAAGUUUGAUCAUUAAGUUACUGGUCCCCUCCCAACAUGUCAAACUCUUGGAUUUAGUAGGCUGGCAUUACCGGAACACACUAUUUUCACACCAUUUCACCUGGUGGGCGGUGCCAUACAUCACUGUGGGCAUAGAUUACAGUGUGCAUAAUAAUAAUAAUUAAUAACAAUACGCUCAAGUCUGAAUCUUGGAAUCUAUUUUCAACUCACCGCCUAACUACAGCAUGGAUGUUACUGUUUCAUCAAUGAAUGUCACGUCCUGACCUUAGUUCCUUUUUUAUGUCUCUGUUUUAGUUUGGUCAGGGCGUGAGUUGGGGUGGGCAUUCUAUGUUUUGUGUUCUAUGUUUUCCAUUUCUAUGUGUUUGGCCUGGUAUGGUUCCCAAUCAGAGGCAGCUGGCAAUCGUUGUCUCUGAUUGAAAACCAUACUUAAGCAGCCUGUUUUUCCCACUUGAGUUGUGGGUAGGUGUUUUCUGUCUCUGUGUUUCUACCAGACAGAACUGUUUCGGUUGUACGGUUGUUUACUUUGUGUUUCAGUGUUCAGCUUAUCGAAUAAAUCUAACAUGGACACUUACCACGCUGCAUCUUGGUCCUCCUCUUCUUCCACCACCAACAACAGCCGUGACAAAGAUGAAGUAAUGUCAUCACUGAAUUCAUGUUAUGUUUGCUAUUUCAUGCAGCCACAGA